GACAGAGGAUGCAAGCGUUAUCCGGAAUCGAUGGGUGCGUAAAGCGUCUGUAGGUGGCUUUUUAAGUCCGCCGUCAAAUCCCAGGGCUCAACCCUGGACAGGCGGUGGAAACUACCAAGCUGGAGUACGGUAGGGGCAGAGGGAAUUUCCGGUGGAGCGGUGAAAUGCGUAGAGAUCGGAAAGAACACCACGGCGAAAGCACUCUGCUGGGCCGACACUGACACUGAGAGACGAAAGCUAGGGGAGCGAAUGGG
rnacentral:rRNA from 1 species